UAGAAAUGUGUGAUGCUGUAUAAGUGUGAGUUGUAUUCUUCUACCAAGGCUUUUAGGGUUUCACCAGUUUUGCUGAGCCUAAAGAUUAGGACAGUGAAUAGAAUGAGAAAGUUGUUUACCUGUUAUUGAAAGUGUAGCAACUUCAAUGGUUUCAAUGCAGCUGAUAUGAAUACUUAAUAUUAAUCAAUGUUCUUGAGAAUGGAAAGGCAAUGGUAUAGAAAUGCAUGAUAAGCAAUGUUCCUAAGAAUUUGGUGAGACAUUGAUGAGUCUUUACAGCUGUUUUGCUAGUCACCCUUGUACAGAAACUAUGGUUACAUGAAUAGUUGGUUGUUUGAUUGAGAAUUGGAGUGUUUCAUGUAAAUGUGUCGCUGGCUUGCUUUUAUUGUGUGGAACUUACUGUUGCUGUAAUUAAUCUUCAUCGUACGAACAAUGCUAGUGCCAGCGUUAUUUUUUAUAUUUUUUUGUAGGGAAAUUCGGAAAUGGUUUUGCAAUCUUUUGUUAAAAAAGUAAAAUGAUAAAAGGAGGAUGAAGGUGGAGUGAGAGCUGCAAACUUGUGUUGAUUGUGGGAAUACUACAUAAAAGACCCAGCAUGACAUCAAUUCCAAUUUGUCACAAUUGAUGGCAAAAAGAGGGUAUGUUUUUGUUUAAUUUAACAUAUUGUUCUCUUGAUUCAUUUCAUGUCAUUUUAAAUCAAUUUUGUUUAAACUCUUACUUAUCUUCAUUACCGCUUUAAAAAGACUUGAUGGGCCCUUUAUUCUUAGUAUUAGAACUAUUUGGCAUUUUGAACAUGUUAUUUAAGGGCAUUUGAUCCUUUCACUCUAGGAUCUAGAUUGAAUUGGGGUAGAGGAAAACCAGUGAUGAUUAUAAAUGCUAUAUAGAAUUGUUAGGAACAAGAAUGACUACAAAUUGAUGAACAGGGGCCAACCUGUUAAUAUUUUGUAUUUUAUGUUUGAUAAGGUAAAAUAAAUAAAUUUUCAGGAAAAAAUGAAACCCUAAAAAAAAUGGUUGAUGCAUAUGACUUGUAUCCUUUGUUCGCCGCUUUUAGUGUUUCAGCAAUUUGCCGAGCCGAAAGUGGGAAUACCCGAGUGGGCAAUGAUUAGAACGAGAGAAGCCCCGAGUGGGAAUACCCAAUUCCAUUGAUAAAUUCGUAGAUAGAAACACACUUAUUCUCUUCACCCUCUCAAAAAUCAAACAAAACAAAAUCAAAGAAGCUUUGAGCUUAAUGGUGCCGCCGAGCCUUUUUCACCAAAGGGGUUUGGCUUUGAUAUGAGCCCCUUAACCUUCUGAUUUUAUAUUGUUAUGAUUAUUAACUUUUUUGUUUUAAAAAUUUGUUUUGUCAAGAGUUGUAGUUUUGUUUUUGGCCUGAUUUUGUUUUGGACGAGGAACACUCUUGUGUUGUUUUAAAGAUUCAGUGCGCACAGCAAAAGCUUGAUUAUAGCUACUACUGCUUGUUUUCUGAUUUUCAGAAAAAUGGUGGGUUUGUUGUAAUUGGGCAGCGGCCAGACAACCGUAGAGAUGGAAUCCACAGAUCUUGAGUUUUUUCUCUCUUACUUCUACUAAUUCCAUCUCACCUUUACUUAUGAUUAACUGUUAAUUUUAAUUUAUUGGUUUAUUUUGAUGUAACUUUUACUGUUGACAUAAAUUUUGGGGUUUUAUGACGAGGAAGAAGACAUAAAGCAGUAUGCAUUGACCUUUUUUUCUACAUUUGUUGUUUAAGUUUAAGCUUCAAUUAGUUGCUCUUUAAACUCAUUCAUCCGUAGAUAGCAAGGAAGGAGUAAUUGAAGUGGAUACCUUCAUUUGUCUCUGAUUGACUUUUUUGGAGACAAUCAUGUUUCAGAUGAAAUUUUUUAGGUUGCUUGUCACCCUGAUGCCGCAACUAUGGUUACAGUAUAGGAAUAGUUUGUUGUGUAGAGCUAAACUUGAAUCAUGUCUCUUUCAUUCAAAUCAUCAUAACCAAUGUAUUCUUUAAAACAUAUAUAUUUGUAAUGUCAUCCCCAAACACCAAAUUGUGUUUAUUGAAUUCAUAUAUAUGUACAAAUAUGCUCUUCCUGCUUCACACAAAACCAAAGCUUGUGCAACCAAUGUUUCACUCUGAACUCAAUUUAUAUUCUUGGUUAAUAUAUAUAGUGAGUUAUAUAGGGGCUUGAAGUAUUAGGUUGUCGUUUGUCACAUGUUUUAAUUAGGCAAGUAACUAAAAUGCUGCAUAAUUUGACUCAUGAAUGGAUGGAUUUUCCUGUCUUAAUGCAAUAACUGGAUCAUUGGCUUUCUGAUCGUGGGGUUGACGGCAGCAUAUUGUAUUUGUUCUUGGCUGAUGACAUGGACUCUUCAUCACUUGAAUUUAAAACUACAAUGGAUCUUUUGGUCAUAUUAAGUUGCUAAAUUUUCAUUUCAGGUAUUAUACUCAAGAUAUAUGGAAAGCCAAUUCCGCUUAAUAAUGGAGAAUCUUGCAUUAAGGGAUGAAGAAGCCAAAUUAGAAAUUUUCGAAAGUAUUUUACCAUUUUUUAGGUCCGAUGUCCCCAUUAUCCCAUAAACCUUUUGCAAGUCAUUAUUUAUUUUUAUAACCUAGUGCAAUUUCCCGCCGUUGCUGCAUGGUCCAAGGUGCACGGGCGCUUCUGGCAACCCCUUGUGCGUGAAAUCUGCAGUUUCCAACCCUUUUUCAAGCGUUCUUACGUCUUGCAAUGUCUUGCAAUGAAUUUUCUUCACUUUAUAUCGUCUUCAAAUGUCUUCUAAGAACCGUUAAUCUUUAAUCUUCAUAUCUUCGAUCCUUCACUUUGUGUCUGUUUUGCUUAUUUACAUGAUUUUCUCACUAAAAAGACUCAAAACACCCAUGGAUUUGCAUGAUUUAGGAUAAAACUAAACUACAACGACUCGAAUGAAAACAAUACAAAAAGUUUCUCAAAUCAUAACCAACUUGUCUUAUUGCUUCUAAUUUGCCUUCAAAUGCAAAAAAAAGAAAAAAAAAAAAAGAAAAAAAAAAGAAAGAAAGAAACUAAAAACAUAGUUAAAAAUAUUAUAUGUUAUUCCAUCAUCGCCGACCUUAUAUGAAAGGUUGGAAGGAUGCACAAUCAUAUGCUUAAACUAUAUUGACAAACAAAACAUCAAAGUUUUGAUACAAAAUCAUACAUCCAAUGAGGUGUGAGUAGCUUAUAAGAAAUAAGGAGGUGCCAAAAACAACUCAAUCUAAUUUGGGUCAUUUAUAGGCGGAUCAACAUUCUUUGGGUAUGGACACACAAGGUCGGCCCAUUUGAUCAAUACUAUAUAAGGAUAUGUCACCCUACCACUGACAGUGCAACAUUUAUUUACAACAACAUAAAAGAAAAUCUAGGAGUUCAGGCCUGAUUGAUUCAACAAGACAAAUCGAUUCACCAAGACAAAUCAGGUAUACGAUCUUACUGAAAUUUAAUAUUCUUUUUCAAUUCCAACGUGAUUCAAUUAGAUGAUAUCAUAACUUAUUACUUGAUUUAUUCUUUAGAUAUUGCAAUCUUUUUCGUUAUUAAAUGGAUUUUAAAGAAUGAGAUGUUUAGAAAUUAAUAUAUUUAUUUAUCACGCCACAAGACAGGUUUAUGUCAAUUUUCCUCUAUUUUUAUGAUUUGCCAAGAUUUCGCAUUUUAUGGGUACACGCAUGAUGAGUUUUGAAAUGAGUCAUCCUAAAAAGUAAUUAAGGAAUAAUCAAAAAUUCAUUUACAGAUCUGAAAGUUAGCUAGAUAUGAGAAUCAAAUUUGAGAAUUAUACCUUCAAUUUGAAUUCAGAUAGCUUUAAAAUCAAACUCAUAUGAAAACAUAUUUAGAGGGUUUUCUUAGGAUUUUGAGUUAAAUUUACGGUUACAAGUUAAUCAGAUUUGAGAUGGGUACUGAUAAAACAUCAGAUGACCGCAUUAUCAAACUUAACUCAAAUCGGGCUAUUCGAACAAAUAAUGGUUCCAUGAUCAUUAAAUUGAUAUGAAGGUGAGUACUAUAGUAAAUCUAUUAUAGUUUUUGCUUUUGAUCGCAGUAAUUAUGUUUUUUUAACCCUCAUAGGCUGGUUUGGUGGUGUCGGCUUAGACUUUUCAAUGUGCUCCUCUCAAGGUCUCAAGUUUUAUUCUCCCCAAUACCAAUUUUAAUAGGUUAGUUUGGAUUCUUAAAAAAAACAUGUUUUUUUCCUUGCCACAUGUCAGUCUCCCAUUGGAUGUCGACGACUGAUAUGGUUGUGAUGAUGUAGCAACUUUAUGCCAUGCAGCAAGGUUCAAUCAUCAUGAUUCCAUGUGUAGAUUUAGUGUGACUCGGAUAUCACAUGAACCAAACGUGAUGUAAUCAAGGUCGGCCCAAGUCAUAGGCCAGGGGUGCGGCAACCUAUUACCAAUAUUUUUUUAGAGGGUGUGGGUGUAUAUAUCAAUUUGUUUUCUAAAGGGGGUAUGCAGAUGAAGAGUAUUAUGGUGUUAUGGUGACUUGGGGUGACACCCUAGCUGAUAUGUCAAUCGUCAUGAUUAACGCAUGUCUCGUUCAUCAUUUACUAGAAACGAAGCCGGAUGGAAUCUUAAUUUGUGGGAAUAGAUUCUAAAGAAUUUUACGCACACCAUAUAAAAGAUGUUAUCCGAAGGAAUUUUAUAAAUUAUAUACUUCCAUAGCGUACGAACUUGCAUCUUACUAGUAUAAUGAAGAGUAUUUGUUUUCUUGUUACUUUCUUAUCUAUCUGUAUCACAAGAAUGAUUUCCAAAAUUCAAUUACUAGAAAAAUAUACAGAACUUUUUACUUAUGAAUUUUCUAAAAUGCAUAUUAUUAUUUUAGAUAUCAGAGUUCUUUGAAAAGUGGAUGGAGAAGCAAGAGGUUGGAAAGAACAAUGAUGAAAUGCAAAAUUCUGAAGGAGAAAAUCAUCCUAUGGUAUGUAUUAUUGACCAUAGAAUAAACAGUUACAUAAUAAUUUUUGUAAUUGAAUUCAUUUUUUUAUUUGCUAAAAUGUGAUUUCAUGCUUCCGCUGAUGUUACUUAUUGUCCAUGCAAAAUGCAAUGGAAAACAUAUCUCUUCGGAUCGCUGCUCUGGAUAACCUAAAUGCAGAUGAAGAAUUCGCAAAUAUGGUUGAAAGUCAUAAGGUCUAUAAUCCCUUUCCUUUUGUUUUGUUACUGAUCAAAAUUGUGUUUGUUAGGUCAACGUUAGCAUAGUAUUUAUGUCAUUCAAAUAUCAAUUUAUAUACAGGGAGAAAAAAGAACAACUUCAUGUUGAAUUCGUUAAGCUUGUAAGACAACUGGAUAUGAAACAAAAGUUGGAAUGGGAGAUUGGGCAACUAAAAGGAUCACUAAUUGUGUUGAAUAAUUUAAGUUGGAUCAUAUUCAUCCCUUCAAUGGGACAACUCCACAAAAAAUGAGCCUCAUUCUUCUUUUGCAGCUGGCUCAGCUUAUUCCAACGGUUCUUCUCGAUGUCUAGUGCAUCGUGCAUACGAGUCAGCAAAGCAUUGAGCAGUGAAAGCAACCUGCAAGUGACUUUCUCGAAGCGUCGUAGUGGGCUCUUCAAGAAAGCUAGCAAGUUUUGCACCCGUUGUCGUGCAUAUCUUGCUCUAAUUAUAUUCUCACUUGGUGAGAAGGUAUUUUUAUUUGGUCAGCCAAGUGUUGAAACGGUCAUAAAUCUUUAUCACUCAGAUUCCACCCUAAAACAAUGGCAUAACGCAAUUCAUUGAGGGAUAUCGUAACACCAAAGUUCGCAAGCUCAUUUUGGGUGGAGUUGUUCCAUUUAUGGGAUGAAUAUGAUCCAACUUGAAUUAUUCAAGAUUCUUGAAUAAUUCAAGUUGGAUCAUAUUCAUCAUACCAAUGGGAAGAGUCCACCAAAAAUGACCCUCCUUUUUCUUUCACAGCUGGCUUAGCUCAUUCUAACGGUUCUUUUCGAUGUCCACUGCAUCGUUCAUACGAGUCCGUAGAGAAUUGAGCUUGCGCACUUUGGCGCUACAAUAUGCCUCAAUGAAUUGCAUUAUGGCAUUGUUUUAGGGUGGAAACUGAAAGAGGUACCAAUUAUGACUGUUUCGACACUUGGCUGACCAAAUGAAAAUACCUUCUCACUAGGUGAGAAUAUAAUUAGAGUAACAUAUGCACCACAAAGGGUGCAAAGCUCGCUAGCUUUCUUGAAGAGUCCACUAUGGCGCUUCGAGAAAGUCACUUGCAGGUUGCUUUCAUUGCUCAUCUUUUUCAUCAUAAUCUUUUGGCGACCUCGAGUUUUCUUUCCGCUCGAUAUGGCUGAAGCACAAAAAGAGAGAGAAAAAUAUGGGUGGGUGUGUUUGUUCUAUAGACUAAGAAAUGACACAUUGUAAUUUGGUGUGAAGGGGUCAUUUUAUAGACAAAUUUUGUGAGUAUAUUUUUGAAAAUAUACCUUUUCAUUACAUUGAAAUAUUUACUGGAUUGAGAGAUUCUCAUCAAAUCUCUUUUAAUAUGGCUAAUAUGGCAGAUGAUUCAAUGUCAAAAAAUGUCAUUCUAUUAUAAAUUUAUAAUUGUAUUUGGAUAAUUCUAAGAAUUUGCAAUAAUCAUUUUUAUAUUUAUUUAUUUAUAUAAAAAUUAAUGAGUGUGGUGCACCAUAUAAAGAACGGUGAUAGUAUCCUUUACAAACAAUGUAGUAGGUUAUCCCUAAAAAAAAUAGUGUAGUGGGUUUAUUACUCACUUUUGUAGGUCUCAAUUUACCACUCUCAAGACUAGGAUUAAUAGAUGUUUUAUUUAGUCUUCAUAUGAAACAAAAUUGAUCGACCAAUUGAUUUACAAUGUUGUUGAUGAACUUUUUAUUUGUAAUUUAGGAUUGAAUUGGAAAACAAUAAGAAAAACAUGUAUGUAAGUAAUCAUGCUUGAUACAUUAAACACUUUUUGGACCUUCCAUCUUUUUGACAAAGUUUAAUAAAAAAUGCAGGAUCAAUCCAUUACAAAAAUAAAAUAAAAUGAAGGACUAACUUGUUCAAAUCCACUAUGAGAUGGUUGUAAUAUGACUACUAGUGUCACUUUAAUUAAUAAUAAUUUCAUCAUUUCUCUUUAUUAAAAAUUAGUUUUAACCUUAGUAAUCAAUUUUAUUACCAUGAAUAAAUUAAAAUUAUGACAGAACUAAAAAUAUAUUAAUUUAAUUAAUUAUAAUAUAUUAUGAUUGAAAGAAAAAAAGUAUAGUUUUUUAAUUAAAUUGGUUUUAUAAAAAAUAUAUUAAUUUAAUUAAUUAUAUAUCAUUUUAGCUUGUUAAAAAAAACGUGCAUCAUAGAGAAACAAGAAUAUAGUUUUUCAAUCAACAUGUACUCAACAAGAACAAAAAAGCAAAGAAAUAUGAUUAAACAAGAACAAUAAGAAAUCGAUUCAUAGGAAUGAACUACAUGAAAGUGUUUGAGUGAUGAAAUAAUGAUACCCAUGAACGAUUUUUCAAUCCUAUCAUUUGAAACCCACGAAAAUAUAUGGAUUAAAAUAACAAAGGGGUUUAACGAGAGCGUCAUUCCACCCAAUUUGCAUAUCAACAAAAUCACUUAUCAUUUUAAUCCUUACUCGGUGAGAAGGCAUUUUUAUUUGGUCACCCAAAUGUUAAAAUGGUCAUAAAUCGUUGUCUCUCAGGUCCAACCCCAAAACAAUGGCAUAAUGCAAUUCAUUGAGGCAUACUGUAGCGCCAAAGUGCACAAGCUCAAUGCUCUGCUGACUCAUGAACGAUGCAUUGGACAUCGAGAAGAACCAUUGGAAUGAGCUGAGCCAGCUGCGAAAGAAGAAUGAUGCUCAUUUUUGCGGACCAUUGGACAGAAAAUAAAAUACUAUUCAAAAUAAGCUAGUAGACUGCUGAUUUCUUGUUACAGUGCGUAUUAAACUAAUUACUUGUUAUAAUGCGUAUUAAAGCCUGUUUGUUAUAGCUUUUUUAAUUAAAAAAAUCAUUUUUUUAAAAAUGAUUACUUUUAAGAGUUUUGCAUUCGUUUAUUUCAACUUUUUUAAAAAAUCAGAAUCUAAAAAAAAUCUAAAAGUAACUUCAAAUGAGAAGUUGUUAAGAGUAGCUUCUCAAAAAAUAAAUUAUUUUAGAGGAGAGAGAAAAUAUAGAUCAAAAUAUUGAACUAAUUUUAUAACAGAAAAUCUCUUUUAUAUAGUUGUAUCAAAACAAACUAAAUCAUUUUCUAAAAAAAUUGACUUUUAUUAUGGUAAACAAACUCAAAAUAGAUUCUGAUUAUGGUAAACAAACGCAAAAUAGAUUCUGAUUUUUCAUUUGUCAAAAUCACUUUUAUUUUAAUUCGUAACAAAUCGACCCUUGAUCUUUUUUUAGGAUUGUGUAGUUAAAUUCUUAAAAUUUAUUCCCUCUAUCUCAAAUUAGGUUAGGAUAGGAGGAUGUAAGAAACAGACCUGUUUGGAUUAGUUUUUUUUUUUAAUACGAAAGAAGAAUAUAUUAAAUAAAAAUAAAUUAAUACAGAAAUUGGGGGACAUUAGACCUGACCCAGGUUUAAAUGAGAAUAAAUUAUGAUAAUCAAUGGAGCAACCCUAAUCAAUCAUAACAAACAAACAUUCCUCACGGGCGUAACCUAAUGAAACCGCUUACGGGCGCGGAACCAAGCUACAAAAAAAGAUGAAAAGUGCAUGAAUGUAUGGAUAAAAGGGUUAUAAAUUGGCGAAUGGAUCGACCGCCAACACGGUUUCAAGAUCCAAGUACCAGCAACCCCCUCAACAAAGCAACAUGCAUAGUAGCUCUUUCGAGCAUAACAUUCCAUGUCAUAGGGACUAAGACAGAAAAAGAAGACAGUACCGGAGUGGAGGCUGAAUUAGAGACUCGAGACCUGUAAAUCUCCAUAGACCUGGAACAUAAGAGAAUCAAUCACAUAACCACCAGCACACCAGUUUCAAGUAGCGCUUGAACCCAGAUCGUGGGAUGAGUCCAACGCAUUGUAACCGAACAGUCCUUUCGGGUUAAUAAACCCAGACCCUUUUGAGUUUACAAAACCGAGGCCACAUUUGUGACCACCCAAUCUCAUAUCAGAAACACAAACAUACAAAACAAACAGAAUCAUACAAAAGAAACGAACAUCGGCGGAAGAACAUAACCAAAUUCCAUAUCCUGUAACUAGAGAGUAGAAACUCUGCAUCCAGCAACUGGGGAACAAAAACAACUCCUCCACCUUGCCAAAAAGACGCCCCACAGUCCGACGUGGAGGAGGCGCACCCAAAACCAUAAAAUACUCAUGAACCGAGCUCAAUCCAGUGAAGAUAUACAUAUCAAGGCGCAACAACCACCAACCAAACUGAAACCUCUCAAACGGUUGCAACGACGACUAAAACAGAUCAAGCUUGCGUCCAAACUAGAUCUGACGACGACCGAAUAGUGAACACGAACGAAAGUUGAGGGGUGUCGGUGGUGAGGGGAACCUACAAUCUCGUAGCAUCACCAAUGAAAGAGAUUACAUUUGACCUUGUUAUUUGGAUGUGAAAGGGAAGAAAGGAGGAGGUCGGUGGUGAUGUUGUAAGAAGGAAAAAAGUCGUUCAAGGGUAGUGAGAGACGAGAGCUUCUCUCUAAACACGCUUCAAACUACGUAUUCCUUAUUUGGAUUAACUUAUUUUAGAGCUUAUACAAAACAGUUUAUGCAAAUAAAUAAAUUUUUAUGUAUUAUUUAUAAGUUAUUUACAUACACUCAAAAUCUGAUUAUGUAAAGGGUUAAUACCUCUUUUCAUCCCUGUAAUAUUAGCGAAUUUCGGUUUUAGUCCCUGUAAAAAAAAAUUUAGAUUUUGUCCCUGUAAUUUCAUAUUCUUCCACUUUUGGUCCCUUAUUCCACCACGUCAGCAGAAUCUGCAUACAUGGCACGUAAAAUGAGGGACCAAAAGUGAAGGAAUUUGAAAUUACAUGGACCAAAAGUGGGAGGAAUCUGAAAUUACAGGGAUGUAAUUUAUGUAGAUUUUGCUGACGUGAUGAAAGGAGGGACCAAAAGUGGAACAAUAUGAAAUUACAGGGACAAAAUCUAAAUUUUUUUUUUACAGGGACUAAAACUGGAAUUCGCUAAUAUUACAGGGACGAAAAGAGGUAUUUACCCUUAUGUAAAUUAUUGUCACUUUGUCCGAGUUAAGGGAAAAAAAGUAAAGACGAUAUCUAAGUUUAGGAGGCGGCGAAGCUAGCAAUAUUUUUAUGAGGUGUCGACAUAUAUAUAUAUUUUUUUUAACUAGUAAAUUUAACCAAUAAGAAAAAAUAAAUUCUCAAUAACUAUUACGUACAUAAAAUGCACUUAAAGCUUGUACCAAAAAAAAAAUGCACUUAAAGCUAUAAUUUACUAAUUACUUUGUUUAGCUGUAAAGAAAAAAAUUCAAAGUGUUAAUAAUGGGUUUGUUAUAAUAAAGGGUUAAUAAAUUAUGUUUGGGUCAAUAGUGAUAGAAUUUCUUUUGUUGGAGAAAGUUAUAGAAUAUUGUUGUUGUCGUCAUAUUUUCAUUAUCAAUCAAAGAAUAUGUAUAUUUUUUAUGUUCACCCUUCGGUUUUUAGAAGAUCAGAUCAAGUAAUUCGAAGUUCAAUUGAAAAGUAAGUAAAAUCAAAAAAGAAAAAAAAAAAAAUCAAUCCAUCUAAAAUCAAACUUGGGGUAGCCAGAUAUAUAUUAUUAGGGGUAGCUUAAUAUAAAAAUAUACCAACUCAUUCAACAAUUUUUUUUCUCUUUGGGGUAGCUAUGGCUACCCCUCUCACAUGAAAUGAAAGCAAUCACCCCUGGGAGAGAGUAUACAAUUUUCAUAAGGGCACUCACCAAUUGAGUGACUCAUCAACCUUGUCUCUGAAUUUGCAUAAACCGGCCAAAUUCGUCCCCCAAUUUAACGAAAUAUCAAAAUAGUUUCUGAAUUUGUAAAAUGUCAAUCAAUUUAGUCCCUCCGUCCAAUUGGAGUGUUAACGGUGCUGACGUGACCGUCAAUCUCUCACAUGUCAGAUGCCACACAAGCAAAGACUAAUUUGGCUGAUAGUGACCAAAAUUUCCAAGGACGAAAUUGAUUGAUUUGCAGAAAAUGUUCUUUCCUCCCCAACGGCUCUAUCUUUCUUCCUCCAAUAUAUAAAAUUGGAACCCUAAUUUUACAAUCUUUAAUCUACACUCCAAAAUUCCCAAAAUUUCUUUCAAUAAUUAGUGGUAACGUACUUCCCCAAUUCAAAAAACCCCAAACCCUAUUUUUUUUUAUUGAAUCCGAAAAUCAGAUUCCCUAAAAUUUCUUCAAGCAAAACUGUUCAAAUUGAAUCUGAAAUGAUGGUGGGUGGGUAUAUUUAGGUGUGUGUAGAGUUGUAAUGAAAAGAGGUUGAAGAUGAAUGAAAUGUAGCCAUUCUGCAAUAAUUUUACCAUCAUAUUAGUCCCUGAAGUAUUUGUCUACUAUCAAAUUGAUCCUUACAUUAUAUUAAAAAACCAUCAAAUAAGUUAUUGAAUUAUAUAAACAUAAAUCAAUUUGGUCUUUGAAGUAGCCUAUGCAAUGUCCCACAAACAUAACUCAUCAACAUCCAUUUUUUCCAAAACACAGAAUUCACCACGAACAUAUUACAACCUCUGAUACUCAUCUCGCUCUAAACCACCACGGUGAUGCCGGAUUAGCGAGAUAUUGUCUUCCAUCCUACGGAUUUUGGCAACAUUAGUCUUAACCACAAACAAAACAACAUCAAAAUACAAACCCUAAAAUGCAAACCUUUUUCAGAAACUGUUUUAAUCAAUUAGUAAUUUCCUUCAUUACUGCCGACCAGAAAAAAAAAAAUUAAAUUUUUAAGUCUUAAACUAAAAACCAUAAAAUGAAUAAUCUAAACAACCCUGGAACGAAUUGGGGAAUGAAUAAUCUAAACCAUAAAAUGAAUAAUUUAAACUGACCAUUUUGAUAUUUCCUUAAAAUGGGAAAUCAAUUUGACAGAUCGGUGCAAAUUAGGACGAAGUUGAUGAUUCACUCCUAACAAAUCUGACUAGCCGGUCUUUCGAUCUAAAACCCUGGUUUGUCGAUGUUGAUAUCUAUCUCCCUCGCUACCGCACUUCUGUCACGUGCGUUCUUCUUCAAGUUCUGCCGUUGUGUCGUCGCCACUGGUGAGUUUCCUUCUUCCUCCUUUUUCUCUUCAGAUUCUUAUUAUUUAUGUAUUACUAAAACUGAUAUCAUGUGGUGACUGGUGAAUAAUCAGAUUCAUUGAUUUGUGCAUCAACAUCUAAACAUAAAUAAAUCUCAAACAUUUUUGGAUCAAAGAUGGGAGAGUUUUUAUUUAAAUUUAAAAAAUAAUGAAAUGUUUAGAAAAAUUGAAACCCUAGAAUUAGGUGGUGGUUCUCUAUUUCUUUGAUCCUUGCAUUCAGCUGUUUUGCCGAAGGUAUUAAGAAAAGGGCGAUGAUUACAACGAGAGAGGCCUUUAGUGGGGAAAUAAUACCCAAUUCCUUCGGAACAUUCUGAUUUUUCAUUCUUAUGAUCAUUUUAGCUUAUUUGUUUUCGAUAAAUUGUUUUGUUGUUCCGAGUUGUAGUUUUUACAAUGAUCUUGCUUUGAAUGAGAACCAUUUGUAUUGUUUUCUUGUUGAAGAUUCCAUGUAAUCAUCUCUCUCCCAACAUAACCUAGCUGGGUUUGACUUAAGUUUCUGUGGUUUUCUUGUCCGAUUAAUUAACAUAAUCGGAUAUGAAAACCACAUAAUUGCGUUAGACUUAGUUUGGUUAUGUUGUUGAAGAUAGAAUCAAACACUGAACAUGUUUUUCAUAAAUAUGGUGGGUUUGGUUGUGAUUGGGAAGCAGCCAAACAACUUUAGAGAUGAAAUUCACAUAUACUUAGUUAUUUUCCCCACCAUUCUACUAAUUCCAUCUCUCAUGUUCUUCUUUCUAGCUAUUAAUUAAAUUUAACUGUUCUUUUUCUUAUAUAAAGUCUGGGUCAGUUUGAUUGUUCAUUGCCUUCAACUGUUCUGCUGAAGGUAAAAGGGGCGAUGAUUACAAAGAAAGAAGAUGUCUUACGUGGAAAAUAUUACCUAAUUCCAUCCAUCGCAAAUGCUGGGUGCCUAAAGAGCAAUUUUCAAAAUCAAAACCAAAAACAAUAAACAACAAAUUAUAGGUCAGGAGUCGAAGGUGCCGCUAUACCCUUUUCACCCAAGGGCUUUUGGCUUUGGCAUCUCGUAUUCUGUCUUCUUCUUUUUUCUCCUCUUCCUCUCUCUUACUGUCCCUUCAAAUUGAAUUGGAUUUUUUCCUACAGUGAUAGAUCUAUCAAAAUUUACACUUCAUAUGAGCCCCUCAACCUUCUCAUUUUCCAUUCUUAUGAUCAUUUUAGUUUCUUUGUUUUAAAAAUUAGUUUUGUUCAGGGUUGUAGUUUUUUGUUUUUUUGCACUAAAGUUGUUUUGAAUGGGAAGCAUUUGUUGUUUACUUGUUGAUGAUUUUGUUUCGAAUUAUCCAAAAUAGGCUUGUUUCAAUUUCCCCUAACCUAACCAAACUGGAUCGACACCCGAGUUUUUGGUCUCUAUGCCCGAUUAAUUGAUUCAGUAAAUCGGGCAUGGAAACCGCUAACUUGGCGUAAAAUCUUAUUUGGUUAGGUUGUUGGAGAUUGAAUCAAUUGACCAACUACUGAUCAUGUUUUAUUACAAAUAUGGCGGGUUCUGUUGUAAUUGGGCAAGUAGAGAUGGAAUCCAGGGAUGCUGCGUUUUUUUGUCUCACCAUUCUACUAAUUCCAUCUCACAGUUUCUUAUUUGUUAAUAUCUGCUAUUCCAAUUUAAUUUUUUUAUGUAUUUUUUUUUAUUUUGACAGAAAGUUCGGGGUUUUGUAAUAUGGAAGAAGACUCUUGUUCUCUUUUAGUAAUUUGAUACAAGUUAUGGGCUUUUACACUUGGAUAUUAAUCAAUACUGAGGUAUGUGGGGAUGGUAUAAAUUGCAUGCUUUUAAGGCAUAGAAUUGCAUGUUAAGUAUUGAUCCUGAGAAUUUGCUAUGACUUGAUGGUAUUGAUGAGCCAUUACAGUGUUAUCUUGGAGUAAUAAUUAGCCAGAGCAUAUGUGCAACGGUGAAAGUGUCCGCUUCAGAAAUGUUUAUACCUAAUUUCUUGAAAGUUGAAUGCAAGCGAAAUCUUAUCUUAGAGUAAUAUUUACCUUUUUGUUUACAUUUGUUGAAUCACUUUAAAUUGGGAAGUGAACAUCGAAUCGAAACAUUUGUGGAGUCUUAGUUAAGACUGUUCAGUUGCCCCCUUUAGUUCAAUAUUUUUGAAGUUAUAUAAGUAAGUUAUCACAGAUAUACUUGCUAUUAAAGAUGUAGCAAGUUCAAUGAUUUCAAGUCUUAGAGUAAAAGUGUACAAACCAAAUAAAUUUCAUAUGAAUACAGACUAAAUAAGUCAUAGAGUACAGUGUACAAACCAAAUAAAUCUCAUGUUUCAGUAUUAUAAUUUAUUAUAGUUUAAUCCUCAAAUAGUUGGUCUUAGAGACGAGUCUCUAGAAUGGUUGAAGUAAAAAUAGGUUUUGGAUGAUGUGAGAUACAAAUCUGAAUUAUCCCUUGAGAGUAAUAUAAGGAGUCACUGGAGUGUAUACCUUUAUUUGUCUCCGAUCUGUUUGUGGAACCAAUUAUGUUUUUAGAUACUGUUUUUGCUCGUCACCCGGAUGCAUCGACUAUGGUUACAGUAUCGGAAUAGUUCCUUGUGCAGAAUUUAACUUGAAUCAUGUCUCUUUUAUUCAAUCAUCACCAAUGUUUUCUUUUUAACAUGUAUAAUGUAUUUAUAGUUUAUACUGUCAUCUGCAAAUUGUAUGUGGGUACUUCAUUAAUUGUUCAUUGCUUUCAGCUGUUUUGCUGAAAGUAGAAAAAAGGGGCGAUGAUUACAAUGAGAGAGGUCUUUAGUGGGAAAUACCCUAUUUGUUCGGAAAAUCAUAACCCAACUUCUAUCAGAGUUAGGAUCCUCUCCAUUUAUCAAUAUCAACAAAAAAAUUAAAAGAAAAUGAAAAUGAAGAAGAUUAGAACUUGAACGUGCCGCCAUACCCUUUUCACCAAAAGGGUCUGGCUUUGGCAUCUCAUAUUCUAUCUUCGUCUUCUUUCUCCUCUUCCUCUUUCUCUUACUGUCCCUUCAUAUUGAAUUGGGUUUUUUCCACAGUGACAGAGCUUUCUUAAUUUACACUUGAUAUGAGCCCCUCAACUUUCUGAUUUUCCAUCAUUAUUAUUAUUAUUAUUAACUUAUUUGUUUUUAAAAAUUAGUUUUGUUCAGAGUUGUAGUGUUUUUUCUUGCGCUGAUUUUAUUUUGGAUGAGGAAACACUUCAUGUUCUCGUCAAAGAUUCAGUGCGGACAGAAAAAGCUUGAUUUUAGCUACUGCUUGUUUCUGACGAACAUAUUUUUCAGAAUAUGGUGGAUUUGUUGUAAUUCGGCAGCGGCUCGACAACCGUGGAGAUGGAAUCCACAGAUGUUGAGUUUUUUCUUGUCUCACACUUCUACUAAUUCCAUCUCACAUUUUUUUCUUAUUUGUUAUCUGCUAAUUAAAUUAAUUGUUCAUUUGGAUGUAAUAUUUUUGAUAUUGAAAUAACUUUUUGGGGAUUAAUAAAAAGGAAGAAGACAAAGUAUUAUGUAAUCAAUUUGCUGCUUUUGCAUUUGCACUCUUUUUUUUUUUCCUUUCUUUUAAUUUGAUAAAAAUUAAUAGUUUUGAAUGGGAAGCAUUUGUUGUUUACCUGUUAUUGACGGUGUAGCAACUUCAAUGGUUUCAAUGCAGCAGAUAUGAAAACUUAAUAUUAAUCAAUGUUCCUGAGACUGGAAAGGCAAUCGUAUAGAAAUGCAUGAUAAGCAAUGUUCCUAAGAAUUUGGUGAAACAUUGAUGAGUCUUUACCGUGUGAACUUUGUGUUGUGGCAUAUUGGAUUGAGGAAUUUUUCAAGGGCUGUCUGUGUACCAUUUUUUAAGUUAAAAUCAUGUGCUAGUUAUAGAAAAACAUAUCACUUGUUUGUGACUGUAUAUACAAGCAAGUGCUGUACUUUGCCUCUCUUUGUUCUUGCAUGAAAUGAUGGAUAUACUGCGUCUUUGCAAUUGGGUGAUCGUUGAUUAUGUUUUUGUUUUUAAGGUGCUGCUUCAGAUAUCAUGCAAUGCACCUCUGGUAGUCUGGUUAAGUUUUUGUUCAAUAAGUUAUUAUAGGAAAAGGAUAUAAACAUUUACAAGUUAACAAGUUAAACGUUGAACUUUCUGAGUUAAGUUUCAGCUAAUUGCCAAUGCUCUAUUCUGUAUAAAGCGUGGGUUAGAUUCAUUGUUCAUUGCUUUCAGCUGAUUUGAUGAAGGUAUAAAGAAAAGGGAGAUUAUUAUAACGAGAGAGGCCUUUAGUGGGAAAUAAUAAUCAAUUCAAUCGGAAAAUCAGAACCCUAACUUCUAUCAGAGUUAGGAUUUGCUCCAUUUACCAAUAUCAACGAAAAGUGAAAAGAAAGUGAAAGCAAAGGAGGUCAGAACUGGAAGGUGCCGUCACACCCUUGUCACCAAAGGGUUUUGACUUUGGCAUUUUUUUUUAUUUUUAUUUUUUUGUUUUUUGUCUCACACUUCUACUGAUUCCAUAUCACAUUUUCUUAUGUUUAAGUGUUCAUUUUCAUGCAAGUUAACAAUUUUGAUUUGAAUUUCGGGGUUUUAUAAUAAGGAAGAAGACAGUAUUAUGGAAUCAAUUUGCUGCUUUUGCAUUUGCACUAUUUCUUGCUCUCUUUUAAUUUAAUAAUAAUUAAUAGCUUUCACAUUUUUCUAUUAAUCAAAAUACUGAAUAAAGUUAUGUGGGGAUGGUAUAGAGUUGCAUCCUAAUAUUAAGUUGUUUAGCAUAUGUGCAAUGUGUUAGCUAAAGACAUGUUUAUACCAUCUCUUACAUUAAUUUUUAUAAAUGUUUGUCCAUUAAGUUCAAAUUGUGAACCAAACAAUGAAUUGAAACGUUUGUAGAUGUUGAUGCCUAAUUAAGACUGUUCAAUCGCCCCCUUAUUAUUGAAGAUGUGGAACUUCGUUUUGAUGCAGCAGAUAUAUGAAUACAUUAUUAAAGAAAUCUUUAGACAAAAGACCUAAUAAUUCACGGUUUUCAGUAUUGUGAGGAGGUGAGCUGGAAGCAUAAUGCAGGGGUUGUUCUGUUUGCAAUAAGUAACUGCUUGGUUAGAAAACAUUAGAUAAUGAUGCUGUAAUUUUUAUACUAAUCAUGUUAUAGGAGGUUGAGAGAUGUAGAUUGCUGUAAUAUAUCCUCUUAGCAAGUUGAUUGAUCCGGAGUUUGUGAUUGUACUAUUUGUAGAUUUCUUUUUAUAUAAGUAGUGAUUGAUAAAAAAAAAAAUUUGUUCAUUUUUUGUUAGUCUCUGAUUGGGGUUUUUUAAGCCAAUGGUGCUUUAAGAUAAUUUUUUUUACGUUGCUAGUCACCCUUGUGCAGAAACUAUGGUUACAUGAACAGUUUGUUGUUUGAUUGAGAAUUGGAGAAUUUCAUGUAAAUGUGUCACUGGCUUGCUUUUUUUUGUGUGGAACUUACAGUUGCUGUAAUUAAUCUUCAUUGUACGAACAAUGCCAGUAGGGCUAUUAGGAAAUGGUUUUGCAAUCUUUUGCUAAAAAAGUAAAAUGAUAAAAGGAGGAUGAAGGUGGAGCGAGAGCUGCAAACUUGUGUUGAUUGUGGGGAAUACUACAUAAAAGACCCAUCAUGACAUCAAUUCUAAUUUGUCACAAUUCAUGGCAAAAAAAGGUAUGUUUUUGUUUAAUUUAACAUAUUGUUCUCUUGAUUCAUUUCAUUACUUAUCUUCAUUACCGCUUUUAAAAAGACUUGUUGGACCCUUUUCUCUUAGUAUCAGAACUAUUUGGCCUUUUGAACGUGUAAUUUAAGGGCAUUUGAUCCUUUCACUCUAGGAUCUAGAUUGAAUUGUAGUAGAGGAAAACCAUUGAUGAUUAUAAAUGCUGUAUAGAAUUGUUAGGAACAAGAAUGACUACAAAUUGAUGAACAGGGAUCAACCUGUUAAUAUUUUGUAUUUUAUGUUUGAUAAGGUAAAAUAAAUAAAUUUUCAGGGAAAAAUUAAACCCCUAAUAAAAAUGCUUGAUGCUAUGAGUUGUAUCCUUUGUUCGCCACUUUUAGUGUUUCAGCAUUUUGCUGAGCCGAAACUGCAGGGCAGUGAUUAGAAUGAGAGAAGCCUUGAGUGGGAAUACCCAAUUCCAUAGAUAAAUUCGUAUAUAGAAACACUUUUAUUCUCUUCACCCCCCCAAAAAUCAAACAAAACAAAAUCAAAGAAGCUUUGAGCUCAAUGGUGCCGCCGAGCCUUUUUCACCAAUGGGGUUUGACUUUGGUAUCUCAGGUUCUAUCUUCCUCUUCCUUCUCCUCCUUCUCUUUUUUAUUCUUUUAUCGUCCCUUAAAUUGAAUUGGGUUUUCCCCACAGUGACAGAUCAUUCCCUCAACCUUCUGAUUUUAUAUUGUUUUGAUUAUUAACUUAUUUGUUUUAAAAAUUUGUUUUGUGAAGAGUUGUAGUUAUGUUUAUUGCCUGAUUUUGUUUUGGACAAGGAACACUUGUGUGUUGUUUUCUUGUUAAAGAUUCAGUGCGCACAGGAAAAGCUUGAUUAUAGCUACUACUGCUUGUUUUCUGCUUUUCAGAAAAAAUAGUGGGUUUGUUGUAAUUGGGAAGCGGCCAGACAACCGUAGAGAUGGAAUCCACAGAUCUUGAGUUUUUUUCUCACACUUCUACUAAUUCCAUCUCACAUUUACUUAUGAUUAACUGUUAAUCUUAAUUUAUUGGUUUAUUUUGAUGUAACUUUUAUUGUUGGCAUAAAUUUUGGGGUUUUAUGACGUGGAAGAAGACAUAUAGUAGUAUGCAUAUGAAUACACUCUGUUUUGAAUCAAUUUGCUUCAUUUAUACUUUUUGUUGUCUUUUAAUUUUAUAAAAAUUAAGUGCUUUUAUAUUUAUCGUAAUCAAUACUAAAGUAAGACAUUGCAUGGUUUUAAUUGCAUGUGAGUCAUUGAAGUGGAUACCUUCAUUUGUCUCUGAUUGGCUUUUUUUGGAGACAAUUAUGUUUCAGAUGAUUUUUUGUAGGCUGCUCAUCACCCGGAUGUGGCAACUACGGUUACAGUACAGAAUUAAACUUGAAUAAUGUCUCUUGCAUUCAAUCAUCAUAACCAAUGUAUUCUUUAUAACACAUUUAUAAUGUCAUCCCCAAACAAGAAAGAGUGUAUACUGAAUUCAUCAAUCACGUGAGAUCGAAUUUAUGUACAAUACGCUCUCACUGCUUCACACAACCAAAGCUUGUGCAACCAAUGUUUCACUCUGAACUCAAUGUUUCCUCAGUAGAUGGUCUUUAUAAUGAAGGAUCUUGCAUUCAGGGAUGAAGAAUCUUGCAUUCAGGGAUGAAGAAUCUAUUGGCAGACUCUACUGAUAGCAACAGCUUUGUUAUAUUGAGUGUUUUUUUUUAUAGGUGUAAGGGUAUUUAAAGUACUGAUUGAUGCAAUUAUGCGAUCAAUAUAAAGGUAUAGUGAUGACUUUGGACUGCUAUUUGGCUCGUGUAUAUUGUUUUAUCUUCGCUUUAAGUGAUCAAACAUCUUUUGACUAAAUAAGUAAAUAAUAAAUGCAUAUGCUUUAUUUAUCAAAUAAGUUAUCUUCUUGUUUGUCCUUUUUUCUUUUGAAUCUUCUUCAUUUGAGCUGAUUAUGAGGAUUCCUAACUUGGGUCUUCUUCUGCUGCUGCACUCCCGUCUCUUUCUAUUGCAAGUGUUUUGCCCUUUCAACUAAGAAAUGCUUCAACAAUUGCCCUUUCUAUUGCGUUCUAAGGAAAAACUUAAACUAACCAAUUAAUCCUAAUCCUACUCCUAAUCCAAAAAUUAAAGUUAAUUUAGAGUUACUACUAAUUAUUGUUCGAAACAAAUGUUAAUUUAAUCCUGAUUGUAUUAAAGUUUUUUUUUUUAAAAGCUAAAUUAGCCCACUUAGAUUGACACUAGAGAGAAUCGAACCUGAGACCUCGAGAAGGAGCAUACUCCUAGGUCCCAAGCCAGUACCACCAGGACAACCCAAGUGGAUUCUAAUUGUAAUUAAAGUUAAUUCUAAAAUUUUAAUACUAUUCUAUUAAUUAUUAUGUUUUUCGGUUAAGAUUCUUCAAAUUCCCUCCAUUUACUUAUUGGGUUAAAGACAAGUCAACAUGCAAUUAUAAGACAACAAUAAAAUUAAAUAUUGUAAUUUGGGGCUAGUGCCUGAAAGUAGAAAUAGAGCAAACAUUCUUUUGUGUAUAUUGCAUAUUUAAUUUUAUUCUUUUCCCCUUCGUAAGGUAGACGAGAUAGAGUUGUCUGUUUGUAGAACUACGUAAGAGAGAGCAUGUGAUGAAAGAUUCAUAGACGAAGUUGAAGUCUUUAUAUGAUAAUUUAUGAAUCUCAAUUUUUUAUGUUUCAAUUAUCUUCAUAGGCCUCUUGAAUCUUUAUCCAUUGUCUUUCCAAAUUCUCAUGAGAUGCUUUGUUUUUCCUUUUUUUGCAAAUUUUGCAGCGAAUUACAUCAAAAACACCUAAUAAUUGGCUGGUUCGAGAAAACUAAAAUUACAUGAUUCAAAAUGAAAACAUUACAAAAUGUCCCGCAAACCAUAAACAAUUAUUCUAAAACUCCUCUAAUUUGUAUCAAAACAUAACCAAAAUGACUUAAAAAUAUGUGGAAAAUAACGUAAGAAGACAUGUUAUCAAGUAGCUUAUAAGAAAAUAAGGAGGGUCCAAAAGCAACUCAAUCUAAUUUGGGUCAUUUAUACGUUGAUCACAUUAUUUGGGUUUGGACACAGAAGGUCAGCCCAUUUGAUCAAUACUAUACAGAGUAUUAAUAAGUCUUCCUACAACUGACUGUGCAACUUUUUUUUACAACAACGCGAGAGAAAUCCUAGGAGUUCAUGCCUAAUCGAUUCAACAAGACAAAUCAGGUAUACAAUCUUAGUACGAUUUAAUCUUAUUUUCCAAUUCCAACAUGAUUUAAUUAUAUCGUAUUUAUUCUUGAGAUUUUGCAAUCUUUUUCUUUGUUAAAUGGAUUUUAAUCUAUCACACCACACGACAAGUUUAUGUCAAUUUUCCUCUAUAUUUAUGUUUUGCCAUGAUUUUGUGUUUUAUUGGUACGCACGAUGAAUUUUGAAAUUAGUUAUUCUAAAAAGUAAUUACGUAAUAAUCAAAAUUCAUUUACAGAUCUGAAAAUUAGAUAGACAUGAGAAUAAAAUUUGAGAAUUAUACCUUCAAUUUGAAUUCAUAGAGCUUUAAAAUCAAACUCAUAUGAAAACAUAUUUUGAGGGUUUUCGUAGUAUUUUGAGUUAAAUUUAGGGUUACAAGUUAUUCAAAUUUGAGACGGACACUGAAGAAACAUCAGAUGACAACAAUAUCAAACUUAGCUUAAAUUGGGCUAUUCCAACAAAUAAUGAUUCCAUGACCAUUAAAUUGAUAUGAAGGUAAGUGUUAUAGUAAAGUUUUUUUUGGGGUAAUUUAUGCUUUUAGUCUCUGGAAUUUAUAGUUUUUGUGUUUGAUCGCAAUAAUUAUGUUGUUUUUAAUCCACCUGAGUUGGUGGUGUUGGCAUGGGCCUUAGAGCUCAUCUCAAGGUUUCAAGUUCGAUUCUAUGUCAACUUUAGCAAGCUAGUUUGACUUCUUAAAAAAAUGUUUAUUUUUGUUUUUCUUCCUUGCCACAUGUCAGUCGUCCAUUGGACGCUAAUGUGGCACUGAUGAUGUAGCAACUCUGCCAUUCGGCAAGGUUCAAUCAUCAUGAUUUCUUCCUCGUAAGUAGAUUAGUAUGACUUGUAUAUCACAUGAACCUGAAGUGAUGAAAUCUUAGUUUGUGGGAGUAGAUUCUAAAGAAUUUAGCGCACAUUUAAUUACACACCAUCUUACAAGAAAAUUCAAUCACUAGCAAAAUAUAUAAAACAUUUUACUUAUGAAUUUUCUAAAAUGAAAUUAUUGUUUUAUAUAUGAAACAGUUCUUUGAAAAGUUGAUGGAGAAGCAAGAGGUUGGUGGAUCUCAGAAUCAAACCACGGGUAAAAGGACUGCUUCAGAAUCUGGAGGGAACAAUGAUGAAAUUCAAAAUUCCGAAACACAAAAACAUCCUAUGGUAUGUAUUUUUUAUUUUUUUUUAGGGGGUCCUAUGGUAUGUAUUGUUGACCAUAUAAUAAAUAGUCACAUAAUUAUUUUUGCAAUUGAAUUCAUUUAUUUUGUUUGCUAAAAUGUGAUUUAAUGCUUCCUCUUAUUCAAAAUGUGAUUUCAUUCUUGUUCAAUAUUGCUUGCAAGAUUUAGUAGUAAUGUUUUUUCAUUAUCUUGCAGGGCAUGACUGAUAUAUCAACUCAAUCCCAAAUUGGUGGUGUGAAGAGAAUGGGGGAACUGGACAAUGGACCUAAUAGAAACCUGGCUAUUGGAGUGGGCUUGGACCGUAGACUUAGACCAGGAGUUUGGAAGGUUUACACCAGGAAGAAGACAAAGGUAGCAAAGGAGGAUGGCAUGGAUGAGAAGGAAUAAUCAUCUAUCUUUCUGUUAUGAUUUUAUGGGGUCACCUUGGAUGAUUUUGGGAGCCUAUGUGCUUUUGGGGUUGAUAGUUUUCACUAUCAAUUGUUAUUUUCCAUUUACAUUGUCCUUAUCUCCUGUAAUUGUGGAUCUAAGCAUUACAAUUCAGAGUUUUUAUUAUAAAUUCAUAUCUUCUUUCAUUUUUCUGCUUGUUAAUUCCCAUCAAUUGGUCCGACAUAUUGGAUCAAACUAACACCACCAUCGGAGAUUUGUAGAUGCCAAGGAAAUCUAAAAUCGGUGAACGAAUUGAUGUGUUAGAAAUUCAAAUGGAAACUGUAACAACCACACUACAAAGUCUUGCUUCUCAUAUGUAUUUUUUCUCAGCUACAGCUGUCAAAACGGGUCGGUCCAUUAGCUUGAUUAAUUAUAGGGUUUGUGUCUUAAUAUUGAGCCUGAAUUUUUAUAAGUCUUUUUAGCCCGGCCAUAAAAAAUCCGGCAUCCGUUAGGGCCGCGGAUAGCUCGUUAACCCGCAUAACAAAAAAAAUCCUAUAAAAUAUAUAUUUUUUAAAUGAUUCUCGGAUUAUCAAAGUAAAAAAUAAAAGUGAAAAUUCAAUGAGUUAACUCACAAAUAAAAAAGUAAUAUAAAAAUUUAUUUACUUGUUUUGUUAUUUAUAAUUUUAAAGAUCGAAUAUAUAAAUAUCUAUAACCAUAACGUAUGUAAUUUAUUUAAAAUUGCUUUCAUCGCUGUUUUAGUUCGCGACGUUUGUACAAAAAUGUUUACAAUUUAUUUUUUUGUGCUAGACAUUAUUUAAACAUAUUAAAAAUAUUAUUUAUAAUAAAUUUUACAGGAGUAUUUUUUGUUAAAAUGUUAUUUUUAGUACGGUCCGGCCCGUUUAUCCCACGACCUAUAUAUGGCCUACCCUAAAUGGUCUAGAUAGUCUCUUAUGAACUACAUAAUAUAAUAUAUGUAAAGUUCGACUUUCAAACCUCGAAAAAACAAGUUUAGGAGGAUGAAAGAUAAAUGACUUAAUUACAUUUUUGGUCCUUGCAUUUUGACAAACUCACGAAAAUGGUCCUAUCUUUUUUAAAUCGAAUAAAAUCGUCUUAAACUAUAUGUUUUUCUGCAGUUUUAGUCAUAUCUCCAUAUUUCGAACUUCAGAAACGCACAGAAAUGACAGUUUUAGUCCAGCCACCUAUGCUCAACCAGAAAUAAACAAAUAAUAAAACAUGUGCGUACGAAUCUACUUUAUUCAGCACACUACCCUAAUUUCCAAGACAUGUUAUAUAUCUAAAACAUGUCUUAGAAAUUAGGGUAACAUAUCUCUCGAAAAUUAGGUUAGUGCGCUGAAUAAAAUAAAGUAGAUUCCUCGUACUUAACCACGUUUUAUUGCUGAACACAAUUCGGGCACUGGUUAGUCUUUCUGUCUAAAACCAUACCUGGUUGGUCGAUGUUGAUCUCUAUCUCUCUCAGGCGCGUUUCUUCGUUCUCUCUCCCAAUCUCAUUUGUGAGUUUUCUUCUUCCUCCUUUUUCUCUUCAGGUGCUGAAAUCAGAUUCAUUGAUUUCUCAAUUUAGUUCAUUUUUUUUUUAUAGAAACAUCAACAUCUAAACAUAAAUAAGUCUCAAACAUUCUUACGAUCAUUUCAGCUUAUUUGUUUUUGAAAAAUUGUUUUGUUGUUCCGAGUUGUAGUUUUUACAAUGAUCUUGCUUUGAAUGAGAAACAUUUGUUUGUUUCCUUGUCGAAGAUUCCAUGCAAACUGGGUUUGACUUAGUGUAUGUGGUUUUAGUAUCCGAUUAAUUAACAUAUUAAUUAAUCAGAUAUGAAAACCACAGAGUUGUGUUAGACUUAGUUUGUUUAUAUUGUUGAAGAUAGAAUCGACCACUGAACAUGUUUUUCAUAAAUUGUUAUGAGCCAUUUUUCAUUUUUAUCCAACCUUCUCAUUUUCCAUUUUUAUGAUCAUUUUAGCUCCUUUGUUUGGCAAAAAUUGUUUUGUUCAGGGUUGUACUUUUUUGUUUUUUUGCAUUGAAAAUGUUUUGAAUGGGAAACAUUUUUGUUGUUUUCUGUUGAUGAUUUUGUUUUGAAUUAUCCAAAAUAGGCUUGUUUCAAUUUCCCCCAACCUAACCAAACUGAAUUGACAUCCGAGUUUGUGAUCUCUAUGGCCGAUUAAUUGAUUCAGGUAAUCGGGCAUGGAAACCACUGCAUUUGUACUCCUGUUCUCUUUUAGUAAUUUGAUACAAGUUACAAGCUUUUACGCUUGUAUAUUAAUCAAUACUGAGGUAUGUGGAGAUGGUAUACAAUUGCAUGUUUUUAAGGCAUAUAAUUGCUUGUUAAGUAUUGAUCCUGAGAAUUUGGUGAGACUGAUAUUGAUGAGCCAUUACAGUGUUAUCUUGGAGUAAUAGUUAGCCAGAGCAUAUGUCCACUCCAGCGGUGAAAGUGUCCGCUUCAGAAAUGUUUACACCUAACAUUUUGGAAGUUGAAUGCAACCAGAAUCUUAGAGUAAUAAGUCAUACCUAAUGUUUAUACCUAUAUUUACCUUUUUGUUUACAUUUGUUGAAUCACUUCAAAUAGGAAGUGAACAUUGAAUUGAAACAUUUGAGGAGUCCUAAUUAAGACUGUUCAGUUGCUCCCUUCAAUUCAAUAUUUUUGAAGCUAUAUAAGGAAGUUAUCAUAGAUACACUUGAUAUUAAAGGUGUAGCAAGUUCAAUGACUUCAAUGUAGUACUAGAUAUGAAAUAUGAAUACAGACUAAAUAAGUCUUAGAGUAAAGUGUACAAACCAAAUAAAUCUCAUUUUUCAGUAUUAUAAUUUAUUAUAGUUUAAUCCUCAAAUAGUUGGGCUUAGAGACGAGUCUCUAGAAUGGAUGAAGUAAAAAUAGGUUUUGACUGAUGUGGGAUACAAAUCCGAAUUUUCCCUUGAUAGCAAGAGAAGGAGUCUAUAGAGUAGGAUACCUUUAUUUGUCUAUGAUUUGUUUGUGGAACCAAUCGUGUUUUCAGAUACUGUUUUUGCUCGUCACCUGGAUGCAUAGACUAUGGUUACAGUAUAUAAUAGUUUGUUGUGCAGAAUUUAACUUGAAUCAUGCCUUUUUUAUUCAAUUGUAACCAAUGUAUUCUUUUUAAAAUUAUAUAUAAGUUUAUACUGUCAUCCGCAAACAAGAUUGCUUUUAGCUGUUUUGCUGAAAGUAGAAAAAUGGGGCGAUGAUUAUAAUGAGAGAGAGGUCUUUAGUGGGAAAUGCCCAAUUUAUUCAGAAAAUCAUAACCCAACUUCUAUCAGAGUUAGGAUCCUCUCCAUUUAUCAAUAUCAACAAAAAAAUGAAAAGAAUAAGAAAAUGAAGAAGGUUAGAACUUGAAGUUGCCGCCAUACCCUUUUCACCAAAGGGGUUUGGCUUUGGUAUCUCAUAUUCUAUCUUCGUCUUCUUUCUCCUCUUCCUCUUUCUCUUAUGUCCCUUCAUAUUGAAUUGGGUUUUUUCCACAGCGACAGAGCUUUCAUAAUUUACACUUGAUAUGAGCCCUCAACCUUCUGAUUUUCCAUUAUUAUUAUUAACUUAUUUGUUUCUCAAAAAUUAGUUUUGUUCAGAAUUGUAGUGUUUUUUUUUUUUUUUUGCACUGAUUUUUUUAAUUUUGGAUGAGGAAACACUUCAUGUUCUCAUUAAAGAUUCAGUGCGGACAAAAAAAGCUUGAUUGCAGUAGCUACUGCUUGUUUUCUGGUGAACAUGUUUUUCAGAAACAAUAUGGUGGAUUUGUUGUAAUUGGACAGCGGCCAGACAACCGUAGAGAUGGAAUCCACAGAUGUUGAGUUUUUCCUUGUCUCACAUUUCUACUAAUUCUAUCUCACAUUUUUUUUUUUUUUUUUGUAUUUGUUAUCUGCUAACUAAAUUUAAUUGUUCAUUUGGAUGUAAUAUUUUUAAUAUCGACAUAACUUUUGGGGUUUAAUAAAAAGGAAGAAGACAUAACUUUUGUGAAGCAAACAUUGAAUUGAAAUGUUUGUUGAUGCCUAGUUAUAAUAUAUCCUGAGUAAACUGAUUGAUCAAGAGUUUGUGAUUGCACUAUUUGUGUACCUGUGGCAUUUCUUUUUGUUAUAUAAGUAGCGAUUAAUAAAAUUUUGUUUGUUCAAUUUCUGUUUGACUCUGAUUGGGGUUUCUAGCCAAUGGUGCUUUGGAACUAUGGUUAUAUGAAUAGUUGCUUCAAUGGAUUUUUUUUGUGUGGAGAAGUGCUAGUACCCACGUUGAUUGUUUAUUUUUUUAGAGGGAGAUUAGGACAGGGUUUUGCAAUGUUUUGUUAAAAAAUUAAAAUGAUAAAAGGAGGAUGAAUCUGAAGUGAGAGCUGUAAACUUUUGUUCAUUGUGGGAAUACUAUAUAAAAUACCCAGCAUGACAUCCUUUCAAAUUUGUCACACUUGAUGGCGGAAAAAGGGUAUGUUUUGGUUUAAUUUAACAUAUUGUUCUCUUGAUUCAUUUGAUUUCAUUUCAGUUUUUAUAUAUUCAGGCUAAACUCUUAUUUAUCUUUAUUACCCCUUUAAAAAGACUGAAUAUUUUUUUUGGAUCCUUUACUCUCAAGAUUAGAACUAUUUGCCCUUCUGAACAUGUAAUUUAAGGGCAUUUGAUCCUUUCACUAGGAUCUGGGUUGUAUUGGAGUUGUGGAAGGUCAGUGGUGAUUAUAAAUGUAAUAUAGAAAGGGAUAAGGGAGCAAAAAUUAGUUUGAAUUAGAAGACACUUGUCAAACACAAUGAAUCUUUAUUUGUUCUUGACCAUUGGUCAUAUGUUAGAAAAAUCAGUUUGAUUGUUAGGAUUAAGAUUUUGGUCAGUUAAUGUUUUUCUGCAUCUGAAAUUGUUGUGUGUGUAUAAUAUGGAUCAAGAAUGUCUCUAUUUAUAGCCAAUUUUAACUGUACUCUCAUUAUUUAACAUAUAAUUUAAUUUAGGAGAAAACUUAGGUACAGUACCUUGUGUGCUGGUGGUACUGUUCCCUAUCAGAAAAUAACACGUGGCUUAUAAAAACAAACAUAAAGUAAAUUUUAUUUGUAGUUUUCAUGGUGGAUGUGUUCUGGUUAUCAUCAAGAACUUUAUUUGCAAUUUUAGUUAACUAUUUUGCUAUAUAUCUCUAGAAAAAAGAACGAAGAAAUUUUGUGAAUGAAGGUAACACUUUGCUGGAUUUAUCCUUGCUGUUUGAAGGAAUGAAGGUGGAAGUUCAACCUUUGCUAGUUGUUUGUUGCCAUUGACCCUGGAUUCAAAGGAUUUAAUUUGGCUUUAUCCUUCGAGCCACAACUCUAAAAAGAAGGAUGAUAAAGCCAUCACACCCAUAAAGCCAAUUUAUCCAAGAAGAAGGACCAUGUGUGAAAGGGGUAGGGAGAAAUUGAAACGGUAGCUAUGAGCAGUAAAAACAGUGAGACGGAUUAAUGAAGGAAGAAAAGUUAGUUUUUUAAAAGGACACGUGUAUUGUUAUUAUUGGGGAACAGUACCACCAGCACAUAAGGUAAUUUACCUAAGUUUUCUCCUUUAAUUUAUUCUAAAAAAAAUCUCAACAUCUGAAAUAUUUUGAUAAGUAGAUGUGCAAUUUUUUAUUAAAAAAAAUUAAGUGUGGGUUAUAUUCACUGUUCUUCGCCUUCAGCUGUUUUGCUGAAUGUAGAAAGAAAAGGGCUAUGAUUACAAUGAGAGAGGCUCUAGUGGGAAAUACCAACUCAAGCGGAAAAUUAGAAUCUCGCCUGAAAUCGGCUCUAACUUCCAUCAAAAUCCAAAAAAAAAAAAAAAAACUAAGAAAGUCAGGAGUUGAAGGUGCCGCCUCGGUACCCUUUCAUCAAAAGGGGGUUUGGGUUUGGUAUCUCAGUUUCUGUCUUCAUCCUCUUUCUCCUCUUCCUCUUUCUCUUACCGUCCCUUCAUAUUGAAUUGGGUUUUUUCCACAGUGACAGAGCCUUCAUAAUUUAUACUUGAUAUGAAGCCCUCAGCCUUCUGGUUUUAGCUUGUGCUUACAUGAAAAGCUUGAUUAUAGCUCGUGCUUGUUUCAAUCUCCCCCAACCUAACCAAACUGGGGUUGACAUUAGCAUCUUUGGUUUCUAUGCCCGAUUAAUGGACGUAUUCGAUUAAUCGAGCAUGAAAACUACAAAUGCUAUGUGUUGAACCGUGUUUGGUUAGGUUGUUGAAGAUCAAAGCAAACCAAUCAACCAUUAACAUGUUUUUGUGGGUAUUGUUGUAAUUGGAUAGCGGUGGCUAGAUAACUAGAGAUGGAAUCCACAUAUGUUGAUUUGUUUGUCUCACCAUUCUACUAAUUCCAUCUCAUAUUCUUAUUUGUUAGUAUCUGCUUAUUUAAAUUUAAUUGUUUUAUGUAUGGUUUAUUUUGACAGAUAAUUAAGGGUUUUAUUAUAAUAAGGAAGAAGACAUAAAGUAGUAUGCAAUAUGCAUAUGGAUACUGUGUUUGGAAUCAAUUUUCUGUAUUUGCACUCUUUUUUUGGGUUCUCUUUUAAUAAUUUUAUAAAAUUUAUGAGCUUUCACACUUGUAUAUUGAUCAAUACUGAGGUAUGUGUGGAUUGUAUGGAAUUGCAUGUUUUUUAGGCAUAGAAUUGUAUGUUAGGUAUCGAUCCUAAGAUUUUGGUGAUGGCAUUGAUAAGACAUUACAAUGUGAACUCGAAGUAAUAAUUAGCCAGAGCAUAUAUGUGCAAAGCUUCAACAAUGUUUUUACCUAAUUUCUUGAGAGUUGAAUGCAUCCACCAUCUCCUACCUUUACCUUUUUGUUUACAUUUGUUGAAUCAGUUCAAAUUGGGAAGUGAACAUUGAAUUGAAACAUUUGUUGAUGCUCAAUUAAACCUCUUCAGUUACCCCCUUCAAUUCAAUAUUUUUGAAGUUAUAUAACUAAGUUAUCACAGACAUGUGUUCACUGAUUUCAAUGUAGUACUAGAUAUGAAAUGUGAAUACAGACUAAAUAAAUCUUAGAGUAAAGUGUACAAACCAAAUAAAUCUCAUUUCUCAGUAUUAUAAUUUACACCCUCUUAUAGAUCACAUACAUCAUUUAAUGAAUGAAUCUAAAAUGUUGGUUUUUGCUUAUAAUAGUGACCAGAGGGUGUACAGUUUAAGCCUCAAUUAGUUUCGCUUAGAGUUGAAUCUCUAGAAUGGAUCAAGUCAAAUUAGGUUUUGGCUGAUGUGGGAUACACGAAUUAUCCUUGGAUUGCAAGAUAAGGGAUCAUUGAAGUUGGAUAUCUCUAUUUGUCUCCAAUUUGUUUUUAGAACCAAUUUUAUUUUCAGUUCCUUUUUUUGCUCAUCACCUGGAUGCAGCAACUAUGGUUACAGUACAGGAAUAGUUUGUUGUGCAUAAUUUAACCAAUGUAUUCUUUCGCAAACAAGAAAUAGUUUAUAUUGACAGCAAGUCUUACAUGAGCACAUGAUUCAUUGUUCAUUGCUUUCAGCUGUUUUGCUGAAGGUAGAAAAAUGGGGCGAUGAUUACAAUGAGAGAGGUCUGUAGUGGGAAAUACCCAAUUUAAUCGGAAAAUCAUAACCCAACUUCUAUCAGAGUUAGAAUCCUCUCCAUUUAUCAAUAUCAACAAAAACAUGAGAAGAAAAAGAAUAUAAUGAAGGUUAGAACUUGAAGGUGCCGCCAUACCCUUUUCACCAAAGGGGUUUGGCUUUGGCAUCUCAUAUUCUAUCUUCCUCUUCUUUGUCCUCUUCCUCUUUCUCUUACAGUCCCUUCAAAUUGAAUUGGGUUUUUUCCUGCAGUGACAGAUUUCAUAAUUUACACUUGAUAUGAGCCCCUCAACCUUCUGACCUUCCAUUAUUAUGAUUAAUAACUUAUUUGUUUGUUUUUAUUGUUCAGAGUUGUAGUGUUUUUUUUUUUUUUUUUGCACUGAUUUUAUUUUGUAUGGGGAAACACUCGUUUUCUUGUUGAAGAUUCAGCGCUGACAGAAAAAGCUUUGAUUGUAGUAGCUACUGCUUGUUUUCUGGUGAACAUGUUUUUCAGAAACAAUAUGGUGGAUUUGUUGUAAUUGGGCAGUGGCCAGACAACCGUAGAGAUGGAAUCCACAGAUGUUGAGGUUUUUCUUGUCUCACCAUUCUACUAAUUCCAUCUCACAAUUUUUCUUAUUUGUUAUCUCCUAAUUAAAUUUAAUUGUUCAUUUUGACGUAAUUUCUGUUAUUUUGACAUAAACCUUUGCGGUUUUGAGUUAACUAGGAAGAAGACAUAAAGUAGAGUGACAUGGGUACUGUGUUUGGGAUCUAAAUGAUGCAUUUGCACGCUUUUUUUUCUUUCUUUUAAUUUAUUUGAUUUGAUAUAAAUUAAGAGCUUUUUCUCUUAUGUGUUAAUCAAAACAGGAGGAAGGUAUGUGCGGAUGGCACAUAAUUGCAUGUUAGUAUUUGAUACUGUGAAUUUGGCAAGACUUGAUGACACUGUAUAUUUUGUGUUUGUGGCUUGUUAUAUUUAUUUAAUAUUUAAUAAUAUAAGUUGUUUACCUAGAGGUACAUGAAGUAGUAACCUGCCAGAGCAUAUAUUGCAAUGGUGAUAGUCUCUGCUUAAGAAAUGUUUAUGUGGAAUAAUGUCUUGAAAGUUGAAUGCAUCAACCAUCCUAACUUGACCUUUUUGCUUACAUCUGCUGAUCUUUCCCUAAUAGAAAUGUGCGAUGCUGUAUAAGUGUGAGUUGUAUUCUUCUACCAAGGCUUUUAGGGUUUGACCAGUUUUGCUGAGCCUAAAGAUUAGGGCAGUGAUUAGAAUGAGAAAGUUGUUUACCUGUUAUUGAAGGUGUAGCAACUUCAAUGGUUUCAAUGCAGCAGAUGUGAAUACUUAAUAUUAAUCAAUGUUCUUGAGAAUGGAAAGGCAAUGGUAUAGAAAUGCAUGAUAAGCAAUGUUCCUAAGAAUUUGGUGAGACAUUGAUGAGUCUUUA
rnacentral:lncRNA from 1 species